GUGACGUACCCUCAAGUCCGGGAUAGCCACGGGAAACCGUGAUUAAUACCGGAUAAUCUCUCAGAGUAUGGUGCUUUGAGAGCAAAGGUGUGAUUCCGCUGGAGGAGCGGCUUACGUGAUAUUAGGUAGUUGGUGAGGUAACGGCUCACCAAGCCUCAGAUGUCUAGGGGGUGUGAGAGCAUGGCCCCCACCACUGGGACUGAGACACUGCCCAGACACCUACGGGUGGCUGCAGUCGAGAAUCUUCGGCAAUGGACGCAAGUCUGACCGAGCGACGCCGCGUGCGGGAUGAAGGCCCUUGGGUUGUAAACCGCUGUCAGAGGGGAUGAAAUGCGAGAGGGCUAUCCCUCUCGUUUGACAGAGCCUCAGAGGAAGCACGGGCUAAGUACGUGCCAGCAGCCGCGGUAACACGUACUGUGCGAACGUUAUUCGGAAUCACUGGGCUUAAAGGGUGCGUAGGCGGUUUAGUAAGUAGGGUGUGAAAUGCCAGAGCUCAACUUUGGCACGGCGCUCUAAACUGCUAAACUUGAGUGAGAUAGGGGUGUACGGAACUUCCGGUGGAGCGGUGAAAUGCGUUGAUAUCGGAAGGAACACCGGUGGC
rnacentral:rRNA from 1 species